rnacentral:rRNA from 1 species
UACGUAGGGUGCAAGCGUUGUCCGGAUUCAUUGGGCGUAAAGAGCGUGUAGGCGGCCAGGUAGGUCGGUUGUGAAAACUGGAGGCUCAACCUUCAGAGGUCGACCGAAACCAUCUGGCUAGAGUCCGGGAGAGGAGAGUGGGAAUUCCUGGUGUAGCGGUGAAAUGCGCAGAUAUCAGGAAGAACACCCGUGGCGAAAGCGGCUCUCUGGAACGGUACUGACGCUGAGACGCGAAAAGCGUGGGGGAGCGAACAGG